UACGUAUGGGGCAAGCGUUGUUCGGAAUUACUGGGCGUAAAGGGCGCGCAGGCGGCUUAUUUUGUCAGGCGUGAAAGCCCCGGGCUUAACCUGGGAACUGCGUUUGAUACGGAUGGGCUAGAGUUCGGGAGAGGAGAGUGGAAUUCCCAGUGUAGAGGUGAAAUUCGUAGAUAUUGGGAAGAACACCAGUGGCGAAGGCGGCUCUCUGGACCGAGACUGACGCUGAGGCGCGAAAGCGUGGGGAGCAAACAGG
rnacentral:rRNA from 1 species